rnacentral:rRNA from 1 species
GGGGAAUAUUGGGCAAUGGGGGAAACCCUGACCCAGCAACGCCGCGUGAAGGAAGAAGGCUUUCGGGUUGUAAACUUCUUUUACCAGGGACGAAGAACGUGACGGUACCUGGAAAAAAAGCCACGGCUAACUACGUGCCAGCAGCCGCGGUAAAACGUAGGUGGCAAGCGUUGUCCGGAUUUACUGGGUGUAAAGGGCGUGUAGGCGGGGCUGCAAGUCAGAAGUGAAAUCUAUGGGCUUAACCCAUAAACUGCUUUUGAAACUGUGGCUCUUGAGUAUCGGAGAGGCAGGCGGAAUUCCUAGUGUAGCGGUGAAAUGCGUAGAUAUUAGGAGGAACACCAGUGGCGAAGGCGGCCUGCUGGACGACAACUGACGCUGAGGCGCGAAAGCGUGGGGAGCAAAC